GCCUAUGGCCACACUGCCCUGAACGCGCCCAAUCCCGUCUGACCUCAGAAGCUAAGCAGGGUCGGGCCCGGUCAGUACCUGGAAGGGAGAAGUGUGGUAGUGUGGAAA
rnacentral:rRNA from 1 species